AGAGCAGGGAUUACUUGGGCAGCCAUUGUAUGCCCAAAACUGGAGCUGAAGGAGGACCUCCAGAGUCGCUAUAGAGGGAUUACAUCACGAGGAAGGGAGGCUGAGCGAAUCGCAAGGAUGCCUUGUUACAACAACAUCCUGUCCUUGCAAAGAGAAGAAUGGCUUUUGAGGGAAUGACAGAGCUUUGGAUCUCAGCUCCCUGAAGCAAGUUCAGGCAAAGCAGUGGGACUGCAGAUGGCUAGAGCUUCUAGCUCAGGAAAGCAGGAGUACUGAUUUUUGCUCCUCCUGUGUAGCCGCCCAAUACUGAGGUGGAGAGGAUGAAAUAUGUGGCAUUACCUGAUAAUUCAGAUAUACUUUUAAAACACACUAUCCAGCAGGGGAGUAAAAAGCAUUAUCAAGAUGUCUUACUUGUAGUCAAGUGCCCCGUGCUGGAUUUGGGUUGAUGUUUUGACAGGCUGCAGUUGUCAACCCCGCAAUAAGGUUAUUCCACUUGGAUAUUUCUGACCUUGUGCUAAAACUUCAAGGAGAAAGUGCACUUACAUUUUUAAUGUGCAUCCUGCUGACACACCACCUUUCCCUGUGGGAGAAGCAGUGUUUGAGGAGGGAAGAGUAAGAAAGAAGUUAAGUAAUUCCUCUCAUGAGGAAUUACUCCUCCAAUGACUUGGAUAAACUCAUGGAUUUCAUGUGCACAAGUUGCAGAAGAACAGGAAGUCAUCGGUGUAUGGUGUUUAUUAUUUCAGUGUGUGGUAAAAUGUUAUUCUAAAAAUAACAUCAACCUACCAUGGGAAGCCACACGAUUUCUAUCAGGAUAAUUGAUAAUUCAGACCUUUAUCUAAUGUUUCUCUUCAUAGAAAAUUACAGCCUUGGAGAAGAAAGUAUUACUGCAGAGAAAGUCAGAGUGAACACUGAAGAGCUGACAGCCCUGGCUGGAGGCAGAGGUUGCUUUUCACUGAUAAUGCAGUGUUUUACCAGUGCUAAACUGAUUUGGACCAUAUGACAACCAAAGUAACAACAUCUAUGGGGCUUAAUCUGCUCUACGACCCAAGGAGUUGCAAGAAGAUUGACCUUUUACUACACUUACCAUCAAAAUAUGUAAUACAUUUAAAAACACAAACUUGGAGGAAGUCUCCAAAGAACAUGGGUUUUCCAUCAUUUUCCCCCUGGAAAAGAAGGAUCAGCUGCCCUGACACCAGAUGAAGCCAUUCCUGAGACCUGUUUUCUAGCAUUGCCUGGGCAGAAAGCCUACUGCAACAGCAAGCACUUCCGACGGCCUCGGCCAUGGCUCCCAUCUUCCAUAUCCUCUUCUGCAAAAGGGAAGCCAGACAGCUGUUGAGGAGCUUUGGAAAAAAUCUUGUCAAAAGGAGACAGUGUGCGAGUGUCCGUGUGUGUCUCCAGCUGGCUGAUGGCAUGGCCCUGGCUUUCUUCUUUGUUUCCAAGCUGCAAAAUAACCAUAAAACUGAAAACCUAAGUAAU